CCUACGGGGGACAGCAGUAGGGAAUUUUCGUCAAUGGGCGCGAGCCUGAACGAGCGAUGCCGCGUGAGUGAAGAAGGCCUUCGGGUCGGAAAGCUCUGUUUCGGGGGAAAAAAGGCAUCAUCAGGAAAUGGGUGCUGACUGAUGUUGCCCCACCAGAAAGGCACGGCUAACUCCGGGCCAGCAGCCGCGGUAAUACGUAGGUGGCGAGCGUUAUCCGGAUUGAUUGGGCGUAAAGGGUGCGCAGGCGGUCCUGCAAGUCUGGAGUGAAACGCAUGAGCUCAACCCAUGCAUGGCUUUGGAAACUGGAGGACUGGAGAGCAGGAGAGGGCGGUGGAAUGCCAUGUGUAGCGGUAAAAUGCGUAGAUAUAUGGAAGAACACCAGUGGCGAAGGCGGCAGCCUGGCCUGUUGCUGACGCUGAGGCACGAAAGCGUGGGGAGCAAAUAGGAUUAGAUACCCUUGUAGUC
rnacentral:rRNA from 1 species